ACUGAGUGGCAAACGGGUGAGUAUAAUGUGGGAAUCUGCCUUUUAGUUCGGAAUAACACGAGGAAACUUGUGCUAAUACCGGAUAAGCCCUUACGGGGAAAGUUUUAAUGCCAAAAGAUGAGCCCGCACUUGAUUAGCUAGUUGGUAAGGUAAAAGCUUACCAAGGCGAUAAUCAAUAGCUGAUUUGAGAGGAUGAUCAGCCACACUGGGACUGAGAUACGGCCCAGACUCC
rnacentral:rRNA from 1 species